ensembl:lncRNA
GUGGCAUUUUAUAAAAAUAUUACCCUGUAUUAACCCAGUGAACAGUAUUGUAAGUGGCACAGUUUAUGUUUAUUACACUUAUUGAACAGGCUCAAUAUUUCAUAUAAAAUAUAUGGUGGCAAUGGGAAAAAAUGCUUGUAAUUCUUCAAAACUGUAUCAGUCACUUCCUUCAUUGAACAUCCUGUCAAUAUGUGUGCUGUAUCGAAAGUAAAAUAUGCACUAAUCUAUAUAAUUGGCAAUGUGAUUAUCUUUUUAAUUGUGAAAACUAUGUAUGUAUCUUCUGUUUUGUGGUGAGGAAAAAAAAAAACAUCAAAAUAUCACCCUGUGUGAAGAAUGGCAAGGCAUGUUAUUUGGAAAGCCUUGUUCUAGUGAUCACCAGUGCAAGCAGUGCUGGUGGGCACCUGAACCGGUGGGACUGGGCUCCAAAUCCAGUUGGAGUUGCUGUGGGAUCCUUGUAUACCCACAUAAGAAGCAGGGCUGCUUUCUGGCACAGCUGCCCCCACAUGAUUUAAAUACAUGUUGAUUCUUGAGUGUGUUGUGUCCAUUAAAUGGAUGUAUUUUCCAAGUUAGGCAGCAUAUGCAAAUCAAGAACCUCAAGAAAAUUAAAAUAACCAUCUACAAAACAGACCAAAAAAAGUUCAGUUUUAUAUUUUUCUAAAACUGCUGUGUUUCAUAUUACCACAGCUUCCCAAAUUUCAAAUCCAGAUCAAAAUUUCUGUCAUCAAAGACUUUAGCAGUGGUCUGAUCUUUUUAUUUUUAUUUUUACUUUUUUUUUUGUCCUUUUUUUUUUAUUAUUUAAAUCUGUUUUACUCUGUUAUUCUGAAGCUUCUGUGAGAUUUCCCCUAGAUUUUUUUUCCACAGGCAGAAGCCACCAUUUAUUUGCAUUUUAACCUAAGACUGGAUUUUGAACCUGAAAUUCAAGAUUACAUUCAAAAUACUGAUGUUUCCAAUCACAGAAAUAAUUAUCAAAUGUAAAGCUGAUCCAGAAUUAAUUUUGGAUUUGGGCCACCGUCAAAUUCCACAGGUUCUUAUAUCUGCUCCAGAUAGAUCAGGAAAAUGCUCUUGAAGCUUCAGGGCUAUGUAUAUGAACUUUCUUAAGCAAAGGAAAUGAUAAUGUAUAAGAGGAAGUAAAACGAUAAAAUAAAGUCCAGAAUUACAUAAAACAAAACCAAAAACCCAAACAAAAACCUGUGUGCACUUUAUAGACUGUAAGACUUGCUCUGCCAUUGCUGCUUGGGAGAAACAAGGCAAUGCAGGUCUAGUGAAAAUCAUCCAUCAACAAAACCUCUGCUCGAGCACAUCCUUUUUGCAGUUGGUGUUAGUUGAAAGUUAGUGUUUUCUCUCCAUGUUUUUACAUGCUUCAGCACCUCUUGGUUUAAAUAAGGGAGGGGAACACUCAAGUAAUAUCGUAUCUCUGAUUCUGUCAGGAGAAGGAAAUCCUGAAGACCUCACUCCUGAAAGUUUAUCUGAAAUAAGCCCUAUUUGAAGGUUCAUUCAACUUGCCUCAUUGUACAGCUGUUAUUAAUGUGAUUAAAUGACAGUGAGUACAUAUGUAAAAACCCAACCUCUGUUUCUUGUGUCUAUAAAUCUCAAUUCAAUAAAAAAGGAGAAAGGAUUCUUAAAAUCCAAAGAAAUAUCACAUAUAGCUCUUCUGCCUUUAUUUGGUAUGACAGCACUUUAUUUCCUUGAACAGACCAAUGUGGUGAAAAGGAUUCUAAAACAAUACUUCUGUAUAACCUAUCUGCUAAAGCUGCUGUGAAAUUCCAGUUUUGUGUAUUUAACCUCCCUGUUUUUAUCUUCACUGGAAUAAUUCUAAAACAACUUCAGUUGUUCUUCCCUAAAAAUUGUAAUCUCAUUAUUCUUUUUUUCCCCUCCCCUCUUUUUUCUCUUGUACAGUUAUCCAGUAUUCAGCUGAAAUGCAGAGUCAUUACAGCAGGAGGUGCUGAGCAGACUGGUGAUCUGGAGUGGUGAUGGUGAGCCAUGGUCCUGGGUGCCUCUUUGCUGCACUCUUUCUUCACAUUCCUGCAGCCUGGGUGGAUAUUGUCAUUUCUGCAGCACUUCAGAGACAUCUGAAGGGGAGCUUAUAGACAGUGCUAAAAUAAAGCUGAGGUCUUUUUAAACUCUGGAGAAUACUGAGCACUUGAAAAUGUAUCUGUGAGCUCAUCUGAAAGUUUGGUCCAUAAUGAGAAAGCAAUGCAAGUAGCAAUAAUGUGACACUUCAUUAAAAACCUUUUGAAUAUAAAGUAUUAUGAAUUGUGAUUCUUACAGAAUUGCAGAAAAUGUGCUUUUUAUUACGGGACAGCAUGUGACAUCCACACAUCAACAGAACCCUUGGAAAAAAAAAAAAUCUGACUGCUUCCAAAGUAAAUCACUGCUUAGCAGAUGUAAAAUCAGCACCAGCCGAUCCAGCAGUGCCUUUCCAAAGUAUGUAACGUCGUGUCAUUUGAAAAUGCAAAGCAGUUGUUUCAACGUGGAAUUUCUAUUCCCAAGGACCUGGUGAAUGGGGAUUUUUGCUCCUUCGAUUAGAGGAUUUGCUGUCUGUCUAGCUGUAUUUUCCUUGGCUUCGGCGUAUUGCAGCUAGGUCAAGGUAUGUGUGGAAGACCAGGAGACAAAGUGAUUUAUCAGAGGUGAUUUGCUCUUUGCUGGUGACAGACCAUCUGCAACUUCUUGGAAGCUCACGGUGAGAAGAGCCAUUGCUACUGCUGUUAAAAUGUGUUGUGUAUAAGAGUAGUGGGAAGUGCAAAUGACUCAUUUCUUAAUUAGAAACGAUGCUAAUGUUUUAGGUUUUCCCCAAAGAUGAAAUGGCCAAACACACAGUGCUGCACCUUGUGCAGGUGACUGCUGCCUCUCCCCGUGCCAUGGGUGCAGGUACUGCUGCAUUGCAAGCAAAUCCAUAUCAGUACUGCAGUAUGUUUCUUGCUCCGCAUUAGAAGUCUUUGAAGGGAAAACAUGUGUUAUUAAGUAAUAUCAGGAUUAUUGAUAUUGUCUGUUUGAACCACAUUAGCAUCUGCUCAGUAAUCUCUAAACGCUGUUACAUUUCAACAGUGUACUGUAACAAAUUAAAGUGAAACUUAAAUAUAUGUUUGAUAGGAUCCCAGUUGUGGAAUGCGUUUCAGCCCUGUUUUCAUUAUUCCUCAGUGUAUACCUUGCUGAAAAGCGUUAUUCAUCCCCAUUAGACAAAUGUAGUCGGAAUUGUUGCAAUUACGUGCCACACAUCAGCACUUGCUUGUUUCCUUUCUUAUUAGAAAUGCGAUGUGCACUGAAACCUGGUAGCAUCUGAAAGGGUGAAAACAGGUAUCAAAAGCAAAUGAAAGAUUUCAUAGAAGAGUACUAGAGCAUAUCUUGCAAAGCAUCACUUCGCAGAGCAGAUCUACAGAAGCUGGACCCAGGCACAUAUUUUCAAAUGAAGCCCCCUGGCACACUGAGGCUGCUUUUUGUGACCUAAUGGUGUUUUUAAAUGGAUGGAUUUAACUAGAGAGGUUUUCUUGCACAUGACCUUUAAAAGAGAAAAAGAACAAUGUUAGCAUUCAACCCAAACCCUGUAGUCUGUCACUUUGUAUACCAUAUCAUUACUAGCAAAAUUUAAAGGAAAACUGCACCCAUUUUGCUCAGCCCAGCAAUAGGAAAGUUCACAGGCUAAGAAGCACUUGUCACCAUUUUUUAAAUUACAAUUGGCAUUCCCGAGGAGGCAGCCAUUUUACUGAAAUAUGAUCCAUCUAUUCUCCCUCUGCCAGGCUGGCCAGGCAGCCAGUAGGAUUAUGAAUCUGACACACUUCUGGUGGGGAAGUGCCACCUGAAUUGCAAAACCAUGCAAUUGUCCAGAGAUGCUGCUCUCCCUUCAUGGUGAGCAGGGUGGCACGUGGAUAACGAAACACAUUUCCUCCUCCGGAAGAAAUCAAGCUGUUGCAGUGUGAGUUUAGACAAUCCCAUGAGAAGUUUGGUAUGCUAGGGCUUUUUCAUGAUUGUGCUUUUGCUUUUUCUGAAUGCGCCCUUUGGUUAAAAUCUACUGAUACCUUGGAUGGAGUGGUUAAGAAAGCAUAUUUUCACCUGGAAAGAAAUCAUAAACCAACAGUGAUGUUGAUGGGAGCUGCUAAAAGAGCAACCUUGUGCCCCUAUUUUGUUCCAGUGUCCUGAUAAUUUGCAGCAAUCCUGCUGGACACGCAUUUUUGAAGGCCAACUUUUUUGCUUCUAAUGUUCUACUUUUUUUUAGUUUAUGUUGUUGCAUGUAUGGACUCCAAGUAAAACAGAGUUGUCGGCUGUUCAGUAUUGCAAACACAAAAUGCAACUCUGACUCUUCCAUGCGGAGCUCACAGUCUAGGUGAACAAGUCAGAGAAAAAGUUCCAAAGGAACACCACACAUUAAAUGAGCAAUGGUUGGAAGAGACCAUGAAAUGAAUGAUAUGCAGGUUAAAUAACUCGUGUCACAUGAGUUGCCUAGCUUUGAUGUGCUGUUCAUGCCUUGUGUUGUGCAGAAGAUCAGAAUGCUGUACCUUGACCUUCUGGAGUUCAUUGCAGUUCAUCUUCAGUCCCACGUUCAGCAAAUUGCUGAAAAAGGGAGCAAGUGUGUAGCUCACCAUGACUCAGGCUGUACCCGCUGGGAAGAGGUGUGACCUCAUGGACAGCUGACAUGGAAGAAAGAAUAUCAGACUGUGGAUACCAUUUGGAAACCCAAGAACACCACCACCUUGACAUAAAUCCACAUAAGCCAGAGGCUGUAAGGGGGAUCGGUCUUUUAGUGUGCCACGUAUGCCAGCACAAAGCACAUAGAGAUGCAUCUCAGGAACCAACAAAAAGGAAUUAUAGCUUUUGUUUCCUUGGAAAAAGAGGGGGAAAAAAAAAAAAAGAGAAGAGAAGAGAAGAGAAGAGAAGAGAAGAGAAGAGAAGAGAAGAGAAGAGAAGAGAAGAGAAGAGAAGAGAAGAGAAGAGAAGAGAAGAGAAGAGAAGAGAAGAGAAGAGAAGAGAAGAGAAGAGAAGAGAAGAGAAGAGAAGAGAAGAGAAGAGAAGAGAAGAGAAGAGAAGAGAAGAGAAGAGAAGAGAAGAGAAAAAAAGAAAAAUAACAUAAAAAAAAGAAAAAGAAUGUCCAUUUGAAUAAACAGUGAUAAUAAUUUUAUCUGAAUAAAUCUUUAAUAAAUUGAAAUUAUUACUGCAGGCUUAAAUAAGCGGUAAGAUUUGACAAGAAGGGCAUUAUCAUCUAAUUAUACUUACUUUAUGAAAGAGAGGGGCAAGGGCCAACCUGUGAGCUGUCUGAACUGCAGUAAUAGAGUGAUCCCCUCUGCAGACUAAAGAAGGAGCCAUCAGACAACAAUAACACACAAGCGGUGCACUGAACGUUGCAGUGGAAACCAUGAUUCACAGAUACACUGUCUUAAUUGUUACGGAAGCGAGUAGAGUGGUACGGAAAGUGCAUGGCAGAGCAGCCUUUGCUGGAUGGAUGAGAGGAUCCCGUGCCAGAUAUUAUAUGAUACUCCUGAAGGUUUCUUUAAUUAUCAGCAGUCAGUGCUGUGUGUGAGCUUCCUAUUGGCUCAGCGCUCAGCAUAAAGCCGCGUAUCUGCAUUGCAAACAGGUGUACAGGUAGAACUGGUACGUAAAUUACCUUCUUCCUGAGGGCAUCUGCCUUCCUAGGAACACUUAAGAAAUGCUGAGAAGACACCUGUGAGCGGCUCUAUUGGUGUCUCAUAUUCUGCUGUUGGCACUGGAUUAUAAAGAGCUGUGCCCACUGAAACAUCUUGCCUUUCUCAUACGAGCAGUGGGAAAAAACAGGGAAUCAAUAAACGGAAAAAUCAUUGCCUGCUAAUGUUCACAAUCUCUUUGAACGUUGGAUUUGUUUGGCAAAUAGGACUGACUUGUUUAAAACCUCCACAUGAGACAUUUAUUUCACAGAGAGCAAAAAAGAAGAGUGAUCAUCAUAAUCUGCUGGAAUUAACAACCUAGCAUAGCUCUUGGCUUAGAUUAACUGCUGCAUUUAUGGUGUACUCCAAAAAGCAGUUCUCUUGUGUAUGUACAGACUGUUUUGUUUUGCAUAUUUACAUUUUUUAUUUAUGAACUGUUAAUCUCAGCCCUCCCUAGAUUAUGUCCUUAUGAUACAUAUUUUUUCAUACUCACCUGGCGACAUAUGAGCUUUUCUCAUUAGAAUCUUGUCUCACUUAGCACUUAGGUUGGAACAACACCAUGCAGCAGGGAAAGGCACUGUCUUUCAUCCCCUGCAGAAGUCCAUCCAUCCUUCUCAGCCCUCGUAGACAGGCCUGAGCCAUUUUGGUCACCGCAAGCAAGGAGCUCCAGGCUGCGGUGGGGACAGCACACACACAGGCAGGACAGUGAGGGAGUGCAGAACUUUGGGAGGCUCUUCCAGAGCUGCACAAUGAAGAGAAGGCCAUGGACAAAGUAAUGACUUCUCCACUCUGUCUUUUGAAAACAGCUUGGCAACUCUGGUGGGAUCAUCCCCAAACAGUGCAGCAUGCAGCAGAUAUUGAGCAGGUUCAUUGAGGCCAGACUCUGAUAUCAAAGGUGAUAUGAGUGACUGACAUGGCCACACCACCACGGCAGCGUGGAGGGCUAUGGUCACACACACUCCCCCAUUGUUUCCCAGGAGCAGUCAUAUCUCACCUUACCUCCCAGGGCUCAGAAGGAAGGCUAGAAAUAGAAACAUAUUACAGAUGUGCACUGGGGAUGUGGUUGGGCUUAGUUUCUGUUCCUUUCCCCGUUGCAAGGGCUAAGCAUGCUUUUGCAUUUCUGAAGGCUGGGACUGGCCGCUGUGAGCAUAAAUCAUGAUGGUAUGGUAAAAAACUGUGAACAGCGAGGUCCUUAAAAAAGAGAUGUUCAGACACCUUCAUCUGAAGUAACAGAAGAUGCCCCGCAGUUACUGUACACACUAGGUGUCAGUUUGCCUAGAUGUUGCUGCUUUCAUACAGCCUUUGGUACUUAAAUUCUCUCAUUUUGUAUAUAAUUCCCUAUAACGUGCCAACACUGCAGCCAAUAUAACUUCAUGUCUUUUUUCACUUGUGCCAGAAAGCUGAACAAGUGGGAUGAGGUUACGCUAAGCAAGAAGGAGAUCACUGGCAAGAAAGAUCUCAAAAGUUCACAGAAAAGCAAGAGAAAAAGAGACACAAAAAGAUCUUGUCAAGAAGAAUGCUCAGAGCACCAAGUUAUAUCUCCCUCGACAUAAACACAUACAGACAAAAAUGACUCACUGUGAGUCAGAGAGAGGGGUUUUAUUUACACCACAGAACUUGGAAAUAACAUUGCUGCCGAUUCUGUUCUGUUCAGUGAUGGUGGGUAUAAGCACAAGGCUGCUAACACUUCUGUAUGAAUCAACGUUUUAAAAUCACUCCUCCCUUCAGUCAGAACUGUUUUCUCGCUUAUGUGAAUUAACCUACCGAACUGGCACAUGAAAUAGUCUGUUUCAGUAUCUAUUACUGAAUAUGUUUUGGCCUGGAUCCCUACAGCAGUUAGGAGCUUGAGUUGUACUGAAAUCACUGAGCAGAGGGGGAAAAAGAAAGUAUUAUUCCUGCUCUUUUCUCUGAGUAACUUUCAGACCAUGACCUGUGGCCAAGCUUUGUGGGAGAAUCUGUCCUGGCACCCUCCUCCAUGGAGGUCCUGUGUGUGGGACACAGCAGUGAGGGAGAAGCAGGGCUGGGAGGUGCUGUGAGCAUGGGACAGAAUACACCUGGAUAGAAUACGUCCCUACUCUUUGUGAGGAGUGAACUGAGAUGUGCUCAUCUUUGACAAGGUGGAUACAUUUCUCCUAGAAAGAAAACACUUUUUGAUCUAGAAAAAACAUCUGAGCUGCUGAGAAAUAUUUUGAUAGAUGUUUCGUUGCCAUCCCUACCAGUCAUUCAUGUCCAACAUGUCCCCUGCCGCCAUAACAGAACAGCAAUACUUCACAAUGGCAAGUCCAGAUGCAUUUUGAAUGGGUGCUCUAUGGCUGGUGAUGUCUCCUGCUUGCCUCCCAGCUCCUACAGCCCCCUGUAAGACAGCAUGGUGAUGAGUCUGUUGUUGGAAUUUGGGACAGGCAGGGGACAUCACACAUUCGGCAGUAGAAAAGCUUUUCUUCUGUUCUCCUACAGAGGAACUCUCAACAAUUAUUUUUUUCUAAACAAAAUAUGAAGUUUGGGGCAAAUAUUUAGGGUGCAUUCAGAUGCCAAGUGUAAAGAGUGGGUGAGAAGGUGUGAUGUCUACAAACAGAGCCAGUACGCAAAACACUCAGUUAUGGACAUGGCCAAGGUAAAUAGGACUGCUGAAACUGUCUUAGCCCCCCACCGUCCUCAUGUGUGGGUUUAUAUGUGCCAGCAGAGCCAGGUUAACCUUAAUUGUGUGUUGUUUAACUUGGCUGUAAACGGCCAACCCUUUUUCUAACUUGGCUCCAAUUGCAGGUAUCACACCUUUCCACUACUGACCUUUCUUGUCUAAAUUGUUUUUUUAAUGCAUAUUAAAUAUUUUUGAUCUACUUUAAUUUCCUAUGGCUUUUUACUGCAGAAAAUGUUACAGAAAAUAUUUCUUCUGAUAGAAAGACAUAUUUUAAUAGCAAAAGUCUUACGUUCUCAAUAGCUGGGCAGGUGAGCAGGUUGUAGAAUCUGGUUCUUUCUGAAGGAAGUAGUGUCAGAAAACCUCACUGAAAUCUGAUGUACUGUUUUUUUCAGUGCAUUCAUUGGCAGAAGUAACAGGAGUGCAACUUCGUCACAGCUGCUAAGUAAGAAAAAUAUUUGAACUGUAAUAACUGAUCGGUAAUUCUUAUUUUCCUUUCAGCAUCGUGUUUCUUAAUAAUGGCUUUAAUAUGUCAACAGUUUGUUAAUGUGAUACUCUGAAAUUUUGAGAAGAUAAAAUGUUUCUCCUUUGGAAGGUAGAAUAUUAAAAACGUGUCCCAUUUAAUUGCCUUUUCUGACAGUUUUAUCUGCAUGCUCCGUGUAACAGAGGUAUUAUAAUUGCUGGUUGACAAAAGGUUUUU